ACCCACAGAGAGAACAGACUCGCGUCAUCUGAUCUCGGAAGCUAAGCAGGGUUGGGCCUGGUUAGUACUUGGAUCAGAGAACAGACUUGUGGGUG
ensembl:rRNA 5S_rRNA 5S ribosomal RNA